rnacentral:rRNA from 1 species
AGGAUGAACGCUAGCGGCAGGCCUAAUACAUGCAAGUCGAACGGUGGUAGCAAUACCAUAGUGGCGCACGGGUGCGUAACACGUAACUAACCUACCCAGAACUGGGGAAUAGCCCGCCGAAAGGCGGAUUAAAUACCGCAUAAGACAACAGAGUGGCAUCACUUAGUUGUUAAAGAUUUAUUGGUUUUGGAUGGGGUUGCGGGUCAUUAGCUAGUUGGUAAGGUAACGGCUUACCAAGGCGACGAUGACUAGGGGAGCUGAGAGGCUGGUCCCCCACACGGGCACUGAGAUACGGGCCCGACUCCUACGGGAGGCAGCAGUAGGGAAUAUUGGGCAAUGGGCGAGAGCCUGACCCAGCCAUGCCGCGUGCAGGAAGAAGGCUUUCUGAGUCGUAAACUGCUUUUGAUAGGGAAGAAUAAGCUUCACGUGUGGAGUGAUGACGGUACCUACAGAAUAAGCACCGGCUAACUCCGUGCCAGCAGCCGCGAU